rnacentral:rRNA from 1 species
GACGAACGCUGGCGGCGUGCUUAACACAUGCCAGUCGAACGGAAAGGCCCUGCUUUUGUGGGGUGCUCGAGUGGCGAACGGGUGAGUAACACGCGAGUAACCUGCCCUUGACUUUGGGAUAACUUCAGGAAACUGGGGCUAAUACCGGAUAGGAGCUCCUGCUGCAUGGUGGGGGUUGGAAAGUUUCGGCGGUUGGGGAUGGACUCGCGGCUUAUCAGCUUGUUGGUGGGGUAGUGGCUUACCAAGGCUUUGACGGGUAGCCGGCCUGGGAGGGUGACCGGCCACAUUGGGACUGAGAUACGGCCCAGACUCCUACGGGAGGCAGCGGUGGGGAAUAUUGCGCAAUGGGCGGAAGCCUGAUGCAGCAGCGCCGCGUGCGGGAUGACGGCCUUCGGGUUGUAAACCGCUUUCGCCUGUGACGAAGCGUGAGUGACGGUAAUGGGUAAAGAAGCACCGGCUAACUACGUG